rnacentral:lncRNA from 1 species
AAAAAUACACUAAAUAUAUACUGAAAAUUAGAGGCGACCAAAACUCUAGAAAUUCACUAUUCCAUUGGAUUUUUAGAGUGAUCUUAAGUUCCAAGUUCUGAAGUAAUACUCCAGCUUAUAUUAAGUCAAAAAUGGUUUGAAUUGUCUUACUAAUUCAGUAGUUGAAGCUUCAGGAGUUCCUUGGACUGAUUUCUGUAUUUUGAUUUGGUUUAUUCAAGCUGGUUUUGGGUUGUUCCUGGUGUUUUUUCAUCUGAAACUAAGGCCUGGGCUGUUUUGAUAUUAUUUUCUGGGUUUUAAGACUGAUCUUAUUGCUGCUGUUCCUUGUUUCCAAGAUAACCCUCCGUUUCCUAUUUUCUAUCCAUACAUCCAGGUACAUUUUUAGUCCCAAGUGAUGUAUGAAUGUUAAAUCAAAUGCAUUCUCAAGUCUGAAGUUAAUGGCUAUCUACUUCCCCAUGAACUCCCUACUAUUUUUCUGCCUUAAUUUUGACCUAGUUUUGUGUUUUUUUGGACAUUGCCUCAGUUGUAAUAAUGGGACUUUUGGACUACUUUCAGAAUUAUGAAUAUCCUGUUUAGAAAUAUUAGCUUAAGUGCAGCAUUCACUUUUGAACCUACAAUCAUGUAAGUUUGAAUGUUAAAACUGGACUAUAGUGUUACAUAAGCGAGUGUUGCCUGCAAAUGCCUAUUUGAAUGAACUUGAAUAUCAAAAUUGGAAUUAUGUUUAGCUUUAGUUCAAUAAAUGCUUUAGGGUUUACA